GAUAAUAGAUUUCUAGUGAUUACCAAGCUUCGACAAGGUAACCAAUCAAUUGUACACUUAGAAUAUUUCCUAAAUCUGUUAGAGGAAGUGUGGACGAAAUUUAAUCUUCAAUCAUCAUCACCUUCUGCAUCGAUUCUUCAUAACAAUAAUCUCCUUAUACAUCGAUUCUCCACCCUUCAAUCCUCAUCUUCAACACAGAAUCAACACACAGAUUUCCGGAACAAGAAACUCAGAGAUACGAUUAUUCACCGAGCCAGAAAACACACAGAAAAACUCACAAAAAUAAAACGAUUCACAAAGAAAACUCACAAGGAAAUUCUGGAAAUCGCAGCCUCGUCUUCACUAAACUUCUGA